rnacentral:rRNA from 1 species
AGAACGAACGCUGGCGGCAGGCUUAACACAUGCAAGUCGAGCGCCCCGCAAGGGGAGCGGCAGACGGGUGAGUAACGCGUGGGAACAUACCCUCCGGUUCGGAAUAACUCAGGGAAACUUGAGCUAAUACCGGAUACGGUCGAGAGGCGAAAGAUUUAUCGCCGGAGGAUUGGCCCGCGUCCGAUUAGCUAGUUGGUGUGGUAAUGGCGCACCAAGGCGACGAUCGGUAGCUGGUCUGAGAGGAUGAUCAGCCACAUUGGGACUGAGACACGGCCCAAACUCCUACGGGAGGCAGCAGUGGGGAAUAUUGGACAAUGGGCGAAAGCCUGAUCCAGCCAUGCCGCGUGAGUGAUGAAGGCCUUAGGGUUGUAAAGCUCUUUCGCCCACGACGAUAAUGACGGUAGUGGGAGAAGAAGCCCCGGCUAACUUCGUGCCAGCAGCCGC